UACGAAGGGGGCUAGCGUUGUUCGGAUUUACUGGGCGUAAAGCGCACGUAGGCGGAUCGUUAAGUCGGGGGUGAAAUCCUGGAGCUCAACUCCAGAACUGCCUUCGAUACUGGCGAUCUUGAGUCCGGAAGAGGUGAGUGGAACUGCGAGUGUAGAGGUGAAAUUCGUAGAUAUCGAGAAGAACACCAGUGGCGAAGGCGGCUCACUGGCCCGAUACUGACGCUGAGGCACGAAAGCGUGGGGAGCAAACAGG
rnacentral:rRNA from 1 species